CUUGCAGUAGAUUUUGGCAUGCCUUUUAUUGAGCUUAAAGCGAAGGCUAGAAAACACAAGAUACAAAGAUAUGAGAUGACAUGCCAUUGUUUUUUUUUUUUUUAAUUUAACGUGGGUGUCUGAGUCAGUUUGCGUGUACUUCGACUAAUUAAUUCCACGGGUCCUAAAGUUAACGACCAUGUAAGUCUCAAGUGACCAUCAUAUGAGCUCGAACCUGAGACCACAGAGAGAGCAAACCUCUUGAUCCCAAACUUUUACCACUGGACCACCACCUAGAUGGUUUGCCAUUGUUUUUAAUAUUAUGGGUUGUCGGUGCUAAAAAAAUAUUCAAAUAAAAAAAUAACAAACAUGUUUGUUCAUGGGAAUAUAAAAAUAUUUUUUUUGAUAUAAAAUUUUAAAUAAAUUUAUGUAUUUUUAAAACAUGAUAAAUAUAUAGAAGGAUAUAUAGAAAAAUUUAUAGUCCAUGAAAAUAACUAGUACCUUAUUAAUUAUUUUCCCGGUUCACUGUGAAACAAAUACAGAUAUAUAAAGUUAUUAUCUCUUUUAUUAUGUUUUCAAUGUUAUUUCCUCAAUUACUAGGCUUUAUUCUUUAUUCUUUAAAUAUUAUUUACAAAAUUUUAAAAAUUAAAAUCAGAAACAACUAAGAGAAACAAUAAAUAAAUGGAUAAGUCAAUAAAAACACAAAAGUUGAGAACUACAAAGCGUAAUAAUAACAAAGAUGCAAAUAAAUGUUUCAAAAAAACAAAACAAGACGUUUUUCAAAUGAAGAUAUCAUCUAGAAAUUGCAUUGUUUUGAAUGUAUUCAGACAAAAAAAAAAAAGAGGAAGAAGAAGAUGCUCCUUCGGGAUUCGAAUCCUCUCCCGUCCAAAACAUGGAAAAAAAGAAAAAGACUAAACAACCACUAAUAUUUUAUGUUCAUAAUUAAUUCAGAAAGCAAAUGUGAUAUCACAAGAGAAAGACAUAAUUUUAAAUUAUAAUUAGUGAGCCACUCUUCUGUAAUAAAUAAUAAUAAAUCACCUUAAUGCCUUCGAUGAUUUGGUCAGCCAUGACAUACAUGCAUGCGGCCCAGUUUCUCUCAUGGCUUGGGCUUCGCUAGCUUCGGCUAGAGAACCAAGCCACACACGUGUCUUCACGCCAGUAACCUCCCCAAUUAUUUGCUCCCCACACGCUCAUGCAACCAUGAUUCGACACGCUUCACUGUGGAGCAUAAUUUUUUUGUUCCUUCAUGGCUAAGCUUAAUCAAGCCCAAUAAUUCUGCGGGCCCCAUCAGCUCAUGUCACUUUAGUUUGCCUUUUGAAAAAGACCAUCAUGGUGCCCACUGACUAGAAAGCCAAUCCCUGUACACAUACGAUGUAUGUACGUAAGACAUACGAUCUUGGACGAAUAUACCCUUGAGGAGGCAUUUUUCACGCCAGCGGGGUGGGUCCUACCACCACCAUGAAUUCUGCCCAUAAAUACGAGCCUCC
rnacentral:lncRNA from 1 species